AAUCCAUGCUAGCAGCUUUCAUUUAUAUACAUCACCGUGUCUUUUGUUUCCCGCGUAAGAUGGCUGCCACCUUGGGCAUAUAACAGGGAAGAAGCUAAAGAGGAUCAAAGGGCAACUCAUAAGCCAUUUGAGAUGGAAAUUUUAUCUCCUUUUGAUUGUUGGUGUAAUGAGUUUGACGCAUGAACUCAAUUCGACUGGAGCAGAGUCAGCACUAUUGAGGCUGUGACCCAUAAGCGGAAGCAGAGCAGUGAUGCCUGUCAUUUUUCAGCUCAAAUGUAGUAUUGAAAGAGGAUUAUGAAGUUUAAGAAUUUUAU
rnacentral:misc_RNA from 1 species